rnacentral:rRNA from 1 species
UACGUAGGGGGCUAGCGUUGUCCGGAUUUAUUGGGCGUAAAGAGCGUGUAGGCGGCUUGGCAAGUCCGUUGUGAAAACUGGAGGCUUAACCUCCAGACGUCGAUGGAAACUGCCUGGCUAGAGUCCGGAAGAGGAGAGUGGAAUUCCUGGUGUAGCGGUGAAAUGCGCAGAUAUCAGGAAGAACACCCGUGGCGAAGGCGGCUCUCUGGGACGGUACUGACGCUAAGGCGCGAAAGCGUGGGGAGCGAACAGG